rnacentral:rRNA from 1 species
GACGAACGCUGGCGGCGUGCUUAACACAUGCAAGUCGAACGCUGAAGCUUGGUGCUUGCACUGGGUGGACGAGUGGCGAACGGGUGAGUAAUACGUGAGUAACCUGCCCUUGACUCUGGGAUAAGCCUGGGAAACUGGGUCUAAUACUGGAUACGACAUGUCACCGCAUGGUGGUGUGUGGAAAGGGUUUUACUGGUUUUGGAUGGGCUCACGGCCUAUCAGCUUGUUGGUGGGGUAAUGGCUCACCAAGGCGACGACGGGUAGCCGGCCUGAGAGGGUGACCGGCCACACUGGGACUGAGACACGGCCCAGACUCCUACGGGAGGCAGCAGUGGGGAAUAUUGCACAAUGGGCGGAAGCCUGAUGCAGCGACGCCGCGUGAGGGAUGACGGCCUUCGGGUUGUAAACCUCUUUCAGCACGGAAGAAGCGAAAGUGACGGUACGUGCAGAAGAAGCGCCGGCUAACUACGUG